rnacentral:rRNA from 1 species
GACGAACGCUGGCGGCGUGCUUAACACAUGCAAGUCGAACGGUGAAGCGCCUUCCUUUUUGGUGGGUGUGGAUGAGUGGCGAACGGGUGAGUAACACGUGAGUCAACUGAUACCUCUUUCUGGAUAACCGCAUGACAGAGUGGCUAAUACGGGAUAUUCUGGGUCUGUUGCUUGAUGGGUCUGGGACAGAUAUUGUUUCGGUGGGGGAUGGGCUCGCGGCCUAUCAGCUUGUUGGUGGGGUGAUGGCCUACCAAGGCGGUGACGCGUAGCCGGCCUGAGAGGGUGGACGGCCACACUGGGACUGAGACACGGCCCAGACUCCGACGGGAGGCAGCAGGGGGGAAUAUUGCACAAUGGGCGCAAGCCUGAUGCAGCGACGCCGCGGGAGGGAUGGAGGCCUUCUGGUUGUGAACCUCUUUCGCCAGUGAAGCAGUCCGGCCGCGUUUGUGGGUGGGUUGACGGUAGCUAGAUAAGAAGCGCCGGCUAACUACGUG